GGAGGUAUCCUCUCAAAAGUAAGGCAGGUGGUCACUUCUAAGUCUCAGGCUCCUUGUUGAUAAAUGGGGUUGGAGGUUUGCACCUGCUAGGUUCCUCCCACUAAGUCUGGGGUGCGGGCUUCCUGGUCCGCGAGAAAGGACGAUUUUAGAGAGGUUUGGAGUCAGGGGAAAGGGAUUCAAACGGUGUCUUUGGGCUCGUGCCUUAACCUCUCCCGGCCUCAGUUUCCUCAACUGUGAAGUGAAAGGGGUGAGGGGUGGAUGGUGCCCUCUAAGGCCCCUUCCGCUCUCAGGCCAGAAAUCUCCCGGGUCCGCGCCCCGCCUCCCGCAGCCCUGCCGUGGCGGCCAUGGUCACGGCCAUGGCGGCGUGGCGGCUCCGGGCGGUGGCAGGGGGCUCCUCACUAGGGAAUCGGCUCCCCCCCGGCUUCACGCUGUGCUCCGCAUCCGGGCCAGAAGGCGGUGGCGGGGGCCGUAGCGGCGGCGGCGGUUCGGCAGCGCGGCCCCCGGAAGGUCCGGAAAGCACCAGGCCCGAGCGGUCCGAGAGCCCGGAGCUCACGACUGAGGAGCUACGGAUCGCCCGGCUGCACACGGCUGCCUGCGCGUGAGCAAGUGAUGACAUUGGUGCAGCAAGAAUACAAAACAUUCCCCAAUACAUCGUUUCACACCUAAUCCAGAAUGUAUUCAAAGCUGGCCAACUAAACUAUGUGGAUCCAAUCACUGGCUAUUUAGUACUCACCAAAGUUGCCCAUUUGCAGAGAGGGAAUUGCUGCGGUUCUGCUUGCAG